UACCUUCGUUAGUCAAGUAAUGUAGCA
rnacentral:sRNA from 1 species